rnacentral:lncRNA from 1 species
CGGCUUUCACGUGGCACACGCCUCUCCUUGCUGGACACGCCAGCCAGGCUUUGUCAUUUCAUCCUAUCUUUUUUGUCAGCUCAUGACAGUAACAGCAGUGUCACUCCAAAACAACCUUGGCAUUCACACCAGCACCUAUCUGGGCACCAAAAUCUCGAGGUGACACUUGGCUUUGAGGCCAGCCUCCCACAUCUUUCAGAGCAUGCUCCAUGAGUGACCUGAAUCUGCCUGCUGACAUCCUCAGGUGGAAUAUGCCACCAGGGUCCCUUCUCCAGCCCCACCACACUGCGGCCCACUCCUUCCAGGCACCCCGGAACACUGUCCGACAGCGCCGACC